rnacentral:lncRNA from 10 species
CCAGCUCUGCCACUUACUGGCUGUGUGCCCUCGGGUAAGUUACGUAACCCCUCUGUUCCCUCAUUUUUUUUAUUUUUAUUUCUACCUGAACAGUCCUAUUGCAGAAUCUGUUCCCUCAAUUGAAAAUGGCAAUGACGGCCGGGUGCAGUGGCUCAUGCCUGUAAUCCCAGCACUCUGGGAGGCCGAGGCGGGCAGAUCAUGAGGUCAGGAGUCCGAGACCAGCCUGCCCAGCAUGGUGAAACCCCGUCCCUACUAAAAAUUCAAAAAAUUAGCCGGGCAUGGUGGCACACACUUGUAGGCCCAGCUACUUGGGAGGCAGAGGCAGGAGAAUUGCUUGAACCCAGCAGGUGGAGGUUGCAGCGAGCCAAGAUUGUGCCACUACACUCCAGCCUGGGCGACAGAGUGAGACUCCAUCUCAAAAAAAAAGAAAAAAGAAAAUGGCAAUGACAACAAUACCAAUCAAUACCAAUGAUGUAGGGUGGUUGACAGGAUUAAAUGUAAGGUGCUUAGUACUGUUUCUGACACACAGCAGGUGCUAAAUCAAACUGAUGCUCAAUAAAUAUCUGCUGACUUACCAAUUUCAACCUAAAGAAAGAUCAAUUCUGUUACCUUCCAGAUCAGGAGUGGACCCAACCCCAAAAUCUCUCCUCCCUUGGGUGAGUCCUGUGAUCACAGGGUGUAUCUUUUGAAGACCCUAUUCCCUCCUCUUCACCUUAGAGUUGGGGACCCCACUGCACUCACAAACUGAAGAAAAGCUUCUCAUUAAUGCCCGAAAUGACGGAUGCGAUGGACAGAGAGAGGAUGGCGGCUCCAAAAAAGACGUGGAUAGGUUUUAGGAGGCUGCGCAGCCACAUGGACGCCCAGGGCAGGAGGAAGACAGCAAAGCCCAGGAACCACUGUGGACAAAAGGGAGGACACACCCGACUGUGCUAUGUGUGACCAAAGCACAUCCCACCCCAUCAGUGCCUCCUCCCCAUCUCUGCUCCCUGGCUCUUCUUUCACAACUCAAACCUUCCCACCUGGCAUUGCCCACUACCGUGCUAGCUUCCUCAUUGUGGCCUAUUACCCAAGCAACAAGAACAGUAAAUGACAUGCUUAGCUACCAUCCCACUCCCAGCAAACCCAACCACCUUGUUUGUCUCUGGUUCCUUCCAGUCCUUGCUCAUAAAACUCUUCACUCGCACAGGCCUGAGAUCAGAAUAUGGAAACCACUUCAAGAAUUCUUUUGGUUCACAGAGGUGGGAGUGGGGAAAGUGGAAGCCAGAUGGCUGAUUAGAGUCAGCAUAGUGCGUGCCAUGACAAAGUUAGCAGAGAGGGCUCUGGGACGAGAGACGGGCAAUGGGAGGGAUAAAAGGAACAGGGUAAGUUCAGGCCACUGACCUCCCACAGCCCUUGAAUAAACUGUCAGUUCUACAAGAUAACAAUCUGCAAGUCCCUCUCCAAGCAGUGAGCAGAGGAAUAUUUGGUGCUCAUGCAAGUGAACCCCCAACCAGAGCUCAUGGCUCUGGGAACCUCGAGGAGGAGAACAGAGAGAACCCACCUGGCAGGCGAAGAGGAAGACAGUGGUGAUGCCCAGCCAGCUGUGAAGGGAGUAGAGGUUGGCAGUCCUUCCAUGGUUGUGAAACGUAAAGACAGCAACCAGCCCCACAACAGUGAGGACGAAGGCCAUCAGGUGCAGCGCUGCAUGGAGGAGUUUCCAGGGCAGUUUGGGCCCCACCCACGACUGGGGCAGGCGGUACACCAGUGACGCUGCAGGAGAGAGUAGUGCCAGGGCUCAGCCUCUCCCCUCGAGCUCACCCAGACAUCAGGGAAUAACCCUGAUAGGAUCCUACACAGCUUCCCAGCAAGGGAACAGGAAAUGCUAGGGCACUGGUAUCAACUCCUCGGCAUCUUCUACCCUCCCAUGAUUUGUGGGAUAACAGCCAUGAAGGGAGGAGAGAAGGGCCAGUUAAAAAGGGAGGAGUGGUCAGGCAAGGUGGCUCAUGCCUGUAAUUCCAGCACUUUUUGGGAGGCCAAGGUGGGAGGACUGCUUGAGGCCAGGAGUUUGAGGUUACAGUGAGCUAUGAUCAUGCCACUGCAAUCUAGCCUGGGCCACAGAGAGAAAUAAAUAAAUAAACAGAUUCCAAUUAAAAAGGGAGGAGGGCUGGGCACGGUGACUCAUGUCAGCACUUUGGGAGGCCAGAAGUUCAAGAUCAGCCUGGGCAACAUAGCAAGAUCCUGUGUCCACAAAAAAU